CUCACGUGCUGUGCUGCUCCGGGGGACCUGAGAGGGAAGGUGGUGGCGAAGGCCCAGGCGGGGGCCGUGCCCAAGUGGAGGCCUCGCCGGGCAGGCUCCUCGAGUGGGAGAUGGCGACGUAACCACAAAACAACGAAUGUCAAGUCCAAUGUAACCCGAGGAUUGUCUGUAUAGGAAGGAUUCCUGGAGAAGAUGACACUUGAGGAGCCCUGAUAUCCCUUGAACAUGCAUACCUUUCCCAGAGAGAGGGACAUGGACCGCGCUGUGCGAGGGACCCCGUCUUCUGCAACAGGAGGGAACAGAGAGA